GUUUCCUACGGGACGCAGCAGUGGGGGAUAUUGCACAAUGGGGGGAACCCUGAUGCAGCGACGCCGCGUGAGGGAAGACGGUCCUAUGGAUUGUAAACCUCUUUAGGCGGGGAGCAAUGCCGGGCACGCGUGCCCGGAGGGAGAGUACCCGCAGAAUAAGCAUCGGCUAACUCCGUGCCAGCAGCCGCGGUAAUACGGAGGAUGCGAGCGUUAUCCGGAUUUAUUGGGUUUAAAGGGUGCGUAGGCGGAUUUUUAAGUCAGCGGUAAAAUGUCCGGGC
rnacentral:rRNA from 1 species